rnacentral:rRNA from 1 species
UCAGGUUGAUUCUGCCUGACAUAGAUGCUAGUUUUUAAGAUUAAGCCAUGCAUACCAAGCGAACCUGCACAGGGGAGCGGUAUACAGCUCAGUAAUAUUCUGGUGAUUUGCUCUAUGCAAUAAAGAUAACUGCGGAAACCUGCGGCGAAGAGUGUAGAAUAAGCUAGAAUCCUAUCAGUUUGUUGGCUGUGUAAAGGACUCCCAAGACUACGACGGGUAACGGGAAAUCAGUGUUUUAUUCCGGAGAAGGAGCCUGAGAAACGGCUACUACGCCUAAGGGUGGCAGCAGGCGCGAAAUCUAUCCAAUCCUCAGUGGGGAGAUGGUUAUUAAACGUGUUUUCAAGGGUGAAGUGUAAAAAGCUUUAUUUGAAGCAAUUGGAGGGCAAGUUUUGGUGCCAGAAGCCUCGGUAAAACCAGCUCCAAGGGUGUCUAUGACGGGUGCUGCAAUUAAAACGUCUGUAGUCGUGGUUGCAAUUAAAUGGUGAUGGUUAAAAUCACACAGUUUGUUAUGAAUUGCGGAACGGAUUGGGGGCAUAGUAUAGGUAGGCGAGGAAUGAAAUCCCAAGACCCUGCUUGGACUAACAGAGGCGAAGGCGGUGCCCUAAUAUGUAUCCGAGGAUCAAAGACGAAGGCUGGAGUAUCGAAGGUGAUUAGAUACCGCCGUAGUUCCAGCAGCAAACUAUGCCAACAGUCUGUAGUGCGCAAGUGCUGCGGAUAAGAGAAAUCUUAAGUUUUUGGGCUUUGGGGAUAGUAUGCUUGCAAUGGUGAAACUUAAAUGAAAUUAGCGGGAGGACACUACAAGGAGUGGAUUGUGCUGCUUAAUUCGACACAACUCGAGAAAUAUUACCGAGAUCAAAUCGUGUGUCGAUCGUUUACGUGAGUACGAUAGUGGUGGUGCAUGGUUGUUGGAAAUUGAUGAGGUGACUUCUAGCUCAAUUGCUUAAACCAGUGAGAUCCUCUAGACAGGUGUUUUGCAACACAGGAAGGAGAGGGCUAUAACAGAUCUGUGAUGCCCCAAGAUAUCUCGGGCUGCAAGCGCAAUACAAUAUCUAUUAUUUACACAAAGAGAUUUUAGAUAAGUAGGAUUAACUUUUGUAAAAGAGUUAUGAAUGAGGAAUUCCCAGUAACAGUAGCUCACUAAGCUACUGUGAAUAUGUCCCUGUUCUUUACUUACAUUGCCCAUCGCUAUUGAAGAUGAUUAUGGAGAUGAAGAGCUUCGGUUCUGAAUAUCCAUCAUUAGAUCCAGUAAAAGUUGAAACAAGGUAGCGGUAGGUGAACCUGCCGCUG